CCUACGGGAGGCAGCAGUGGGGAAUAUUGCACAAUGGGGGAAACCCUGAUGCAGCAACGCCGCGUGAAGGAUGACGGUUUUCGGAUUGUAAACUUCUUUUCUUAGUGACGAAGACAGUGACGGUAGCUAAGGAAUAAGCAUCGGCUAACUACGUGCCAGCAGCCGCGGUAAUACGUAGGAUGCAAGCGUUAUCCGGAUUUACUGGGUGUAAAGGGAGCGCAGGCGGGACUGCAAGUUGGAUGUGAAAUACCGUGGCUUAACCACGGAACUGCAUCCAAAACUGUAGUUCUUGAGUGAAGUAGAGGCAAGCGGAAUUCCGAGUGUAGCGGUGAAAUGCGUAGAUAUUCGGAGGAACACCAGUGGCGAAGGCGGCUUGCUGGGCUUUAACUGACGCUGAGGCUCGAAAGUGUGGGGAGCAAACAGGAUUAGAUACCCUGGUAGUCCACACUGUAAACGAUGAUAGCUAGGUGUGGGGGGUCUGACCCCUUCCGUGCCGGAGUUAACGCAAUAAGCUAUCCACCUGGGGAGUACGACCGCAAGGUUGAAACUCAAAGGAAUUGACGGGGGCCCGCACAAGCAGUGGAUUAUGUGGUUUAAUUCGACGCAACGCGAAGAACCUUACCGGGAUUUGACAUCCUACUAACGAAGUAGAGAUACAUUAGGUGCCCUUCGGGGAAAGUAGAGACAGGUGGUGCAUGGUUGUCGUCAGCUCGUGUCGUGAGAUGUUGGGUUAAGUCCCGCAACGAGCGCAACCCCUAUUGUUAGUUGCUACGCAAGAGCACUCUAGCGAGACUGCCGUUGACAAAACGGAGGAAGGCGGGGACGACGUCAAAUCAUCAUGCCCCUUAUGUCCCGGGCUACACACGUAAUACAAUGGCGAUCAACAGAGGGAAGCAAAGCCGCGAGGCAGAGCAAAUCCCCAAAAGUCGUCUCAGUUCGGAUUGCAGGCUGAAACCCGCCUGCAUGAAGUUGGAAUUGCUAGUAAUCGCGGAUCAGCAUGCCGCGGUGAAUACGUUCCCG
rnacentral:rRNA from 1 species